rnacentral:rRNA from 1 species
CGCUGGCGGCACGCCUAAUACAUGCAAGUCGAACGGAGUAGCAAUACUCAGUGGCAGACGGGUGAGUAACAUGUGGGUAUCUUCCCUUUGGUGAGGAAUAACACGAGGAAACUUGUGCUAAUACCUCAUAAGUCUUUACGGAGAAAGCUUUAUGCGCCGAUGGAUGAGCCCGCACUUGAUUAGUUUGUUGGUGGGGUAAUGGCCUACCAAGACUGUGAUCAAUAGCUGAUUUGAGAGGAUGAUCAGCCACAUUGGGACUGAGACACGGCCCAAACUCCUACGGGAGGCAGCAGUAGGGAAUCUUGCACAAUGGAGGAAACUCUGAUGCAGCGAUGCCGCGUGAGUGAAGAAGGCCCUUGGGUUGUAAAGCUCUUUCGUCGGGGAAGAAAAUGACUGUACCCGAAUAAGAAGGUCCGGCUAACUUCGUGCCAGCAGCCGCGGUAAUACGAAGGGACCUAGCGUAGUUCGGAAUUACUGGGCUUAAAGAGUUCGUAGGUGGUUAAAAAAGUUGGUGGUGAAAGCCCAGAGCUUAACUCUGGAACUGCCAUCAAAACUUUUUAGCUAGAGUUUGAUAGAGGAAAGCAGAAUUUCUAGUGUAGAGGUGAAAUUCGUAGAUAUUAGAAAGAAUACCAAUUGCGAAGGCAGCUUUCUGGAUCAUUACUGACACUGAGGAACGAAAGCAUGGGUAGCGAAGAGGAUUAGAUACCCUCGUAGUCCAUGCCGUAAACGAUGUGUGUUAGAUGUUGGAAAUUUAUUUUCAGUAUCUCAGCGAAAGCAAUAAACACACCGCCUGGGGAGUACGACC